rnacentral:rRNA from 1 species
AACGAACGCUGGCGGUAGGCCUAACACAUGCAAGUCGAACGGCAGCACAGGAGAGCUUGCUCUCUGGGUGGCGAGUGGCGGACGGGUGAGGAAUACAUCGGAAUCUACCUUUUCGUGGGGGAUAACGUAGGGAAACUUACGCUAAUACCGCAUACGACCUUCGGGUGAAAGCAGGGGACCUUCGGGCCUUGCGCGGAUAGAUGAGCCGAUGUCGGAUUAGCUAGUUGGCGGGGUAAAGGCCCACCAAGGCGACGAUCCGUAGCUGGUCUGAGAGGAUGAUCAGCCACACUGGAACUGAGACACGGUCCAGACUCCUACGGGAGGCAGCAGUGGGGAAUAUUGGACAAUGGGCGCAAGCCUGAUCCAGCCAUACCGCGUGGGUGAAGAAGGCCUUCGGGUUGUAAAGCCCUUUUGUUGGGAAAGAAAAGCAGCCAGUUAAUACCUGGUUGUUCUGACGGUACCCAAAGAAUAAGCACCGGCUAACUUCGUGCCAGCCGCCGCCGUAAGAC